rnacentral:rRNA from 1 species
GAUGAACGCUAGCGGCGGGCCUAAUACAUGCAAGUUGAACGGGAUCCAAGGUGCUUGCACUUUGGUGAGAGUGGCGCACGGGUGCGUAACACGUAUACAAUCUGCCUUUAACUGGAGCAUAGCCCCGAGAAAUCGGGAUUAAUACUCCAUAAAAUAGCACUUAGGCAUCUAAGAACUAUUAAAGCUUCGGCGGUUAAAGAUGAGUAUGCGGAACAUUAGCUUGAUGGUAAGGUAACGGCUUACCAUGGCUACGAUGUUUAGGGGGUCUGAGAGGAUUAUCCCCCACACUGGUACUGAGACACGGACCAG